ensembl:snoRNA F54E7.11 ncRNA
GUUCCACUUAUUUUUCAACGUCGCCGGUUCUAGAAUCGAUGUGACCCCAAUAAGCUGGUAGAUAAGUUGUUACUCUGCCACACGUGUACUGGUAUCAUGCUGUAUGUGUUCCAAAGAUUUUACAAACAAUU